rnacentral:rRNA from 1 species
UGCUCAAUGUCCAAGAAUAAACAGCCGCAGUUUAACUGUGCUAAGGUAGCGCAAUCACUUGCUUUUUAAUUAAAAGAUAGUAUGAAAGGCUAAACACUUAAAUAGAUGUCUCUCUAAAUUUUAAUGAAUCUAAAUAUAAAGUAAAAAUUCUUUUAUUAUAAGGUGGGACGACAAGACCCUAAUAAACUUAACAUUUAGUUGGGGAAACACAUUAACAAUACUUUAAUCAAUAAUUCUACACAAUCCUUUAAAAUAAAAAAAAGACUAGUUACUAUAGGGAUAACAGCGCUAUUCUCCCCCAGAGAUCCUAUCAAAGGAAGAGAUUACGACCUCGAUGUUGAAUUAGUAAUCCCUAAGAAUGCAACCGUUAUUAAGGGUAGUCUGUUCGACUAUUAAAAAA